UAUUAUUCUGUCAUCUGUCAUACGGAAGGAAAAUUUAUCAAGCAUCAUGAGAGCGAAAUUAUUGUGCAAUGUUGUUAAGAUAGUGUUGAUAACGCUAGGGCUAUUUCGAGUUUGAUAGCCUGGUCGGAGAAGGCGGGGCGCUUUACGUGCGGUGGAUAAAACAGAAUUAAACAUAUCUGACUGACAAGAGAAACAUUUAUAACAAGUAGCCAAACAUCUCUGUAUAUACAAUUUUUAUAAUUUUAAUAGUUAUUGGAAUGGCAUUAUCUUCAUUUCUAACAGCAGUUUUUCUUUUGUUCGUUCUUCCCGCGUUAGUUGAGAAAGCAUAUAAAGUUGCCAAUACAUAAUUCUUUUUAAUUUUUUAACUAACCGUACGGGAGAAGGCCCCGUGUCCAAUGUUCGUAUGAUUUGCAUAUCGUUAUUGAGUAUUAUUACUGCUACUGCCAUACUGUUUUGCGUACCACUCUGUACCCGUGGGAUACUGGAAACGCGUUGCUGCUGCCCCAAUCACCCAACUUGCCCAGACUGCGGACUUAACUACUGAUCCUACAUUCCAUAAGUGACUUAUUUGAUAGUUCCCGCGUCGAUAGUUUAACGAAGGCAGUGCGUGUAGAACUAGAUCAUGAUUUGUAUGAGUGUGCUGACGGCGGUCACGGCGGCCGGCCUCAUCGUCCUCGGUCCCUUGAUUUGUGAAAAAUUCUUCAAAUGUAUCUGUACCAAGUCGACGAGACGAUGAUUUAUUAAAUUAUUCCAUCGAA